AACGAACGCUGGCGGCAGGCUUAACACAUGCAAGUCGAACGCAUCCUUCGGGGUGAGUGGCAGACGGGUGAGUAACACGUGGGAACGUGCCCUUCGGUUCGGAAUAACUCAGGGAAACUUGAGCUAAUACCGGAUACGCCCUUUGGGGGAAAGGUUUACUGCCGAAGGAUCGGCCCGCGUCUGAUUAGCUAGUUGGUGGGGUAAUGGCCUACCAAGGCGACGAUCAGUAGCUGGUCUGAGAGGAUGAUCAGCCACACUGGGACUGAGACACGGCCAGACUCCUACGGGAGGCAGCAGUGGGGAUAUUGGACAAUGGGCGCAAGCCUGAUCCAGCCAUGCCGCGUGAGUGAUGAA
rnacentral:rRNA from 1 species